rnacentral:misc_RNA from 1 species
GAUGAAGAACGUAGCGAAAUGCGAUAAGUAAUGUGAAUUGCAGAAUUCAGUGAAUCAUCGAAUCUUUGAACGCACAUUGCGCCCGCCAGUAUUCUGGCGGGCAUGCCUGUUCGAGCGUCAUUUCAACCAUCAAGCCCCGGGCUUGUGUUGGGGACCUGCGGCUGCCGCAGGCCCUGAAAUGCAGUGGCGGGCUCGCUGUCACUCCGAGCGUAGUAGUUACAUCUCGCUCUGGGCGUGCUGCGGGUUCCGGGCGUUAAAAGCCUUAUUUACCCAAGGUUGACCUCGGAUCAGGUAGGAAGACCCGCUGAACUUAAGCAUAUCAAUAAGCGGAGGA